rnacentral:rRNA from 1 species
AUUGAACGCUGGCGGCAUGCUUUACACAUGCAAGUCGAACGGCAGCGGGUCCUUCGGGAUGCCGGCGAGUGGCGAACGGGUGAGUAAUGCAUCGGAACGUACCCAGACGUGGGGGAUAACUACGCGAAAGCGUAGCUAAUACCGCAUACGCCCUGAGGGGGGAAAGCGGGGGAUCUUCGGACCUCGCGCGAUUGGAGCGGCCGAUGUCGGAUUAGCUAGUUGGUGGGGUAAAGGCCUACCAAGGCGAUGAUCCGUAGCUGGUCUGAGAGGAUGAUCAGCCACACUGGGACUGAGACACGGCCCAGACUCCUACGGGAGGCAGCAGUGGGGAAUUUUGGACAAUGGGCGCAAGCCUGAUCCAGCCAUGCCGCGUGCGGGAAGAAGGCCUCGGUUGUAACGCUUCGUACGGAGAAUACGCACGGCCGAAGUACCCUACGUGUGGAGUGACGGUACCGUAACGAAGAAGA